UACGUAGGUGGCGAGCGUUGUCCGGAUUUACUGGGCGUAAACGGCUUGUAGGCGGUCCGCUAAGUCUGGUGUGAAAUCUCCCGGCUCAACUGGGAGGGGUCAUUGGAAACUGGGGGACUUGAGUGCAGAAGAGGAGAGUGGAAUUCCACGUGUAGCGGUGAAAUGCGUAGAGAUGUGGAGGAACACCAGUGGCGAAGGCGACUCUCUGGUCUGUAACUGACGCUGAGGCGCGAAAGCGUGGGGAGCAAACAGG
rnacentral:rRNA from 1 species